GCAUUGCUGAGGAGUUCCACAAUAAGACGAAACGGCCGUUCAGUGC
rnacentral:hammerhead_ribozyme from 1 species